rnacentral:rRNA from 1 species
UAAAGCUACAAAGAGCUAAUGGGGAAUGCCUUGGUACUGACAGCCGAUGAAGGACGUGUAAAGCUGCGAUAAGCUGCGGGGAACUGCUAAAAGGUCUUGAUCCGCAGAAAUCCGAAUGGGGAAACCCUAUCAAGUUAAAACUUGAUAACUCACAAGUGAAUACAUAGCUUGUGUAGAGGAAAGCCUGUGAACUGAAACAUCUUAGUAACAGGACGAAAAGAAAAUAACCAAAUGAUUCCGAGAGUAGCGGCGAGCGAAAUCGGAAGAGCCUAAACAGUAUGUACGUGAUAGACUGCAAUCGUUGUGCAUAUUGAGUUGUGGGACUUAUGGUAUAAUUUGCAGAUUAUACAAAGAGUUACAAAAUUAUUUAAUAGCUAAAUACAACUGGGAAGUUGAGCCAUAGCGGGUGAUAGCCCCUUAAGCGACAUUAAAUAAUCUCUUAUAAGUAUCCCGAGUAAGGCGGGGCACGUGAAACCCUGUCUGAAUCCACCGGGACCAUCCGGUAAGGCUAAAUACUAGUCAGUGACCGAUAGUGAACGAGUACAGUGAUGGAAAGGCGAAAAGAACAGUGAGAAGCUGAGUGAAAUAGACCCUGAAACCGUUAGCUUACAACCAGUCAGAGCACAAUUAAUUGUGUGAUGGCGUGCCUGUUGAAGAAUGAGCCGGCGAGUUAUUUUAUGUUGCAAGGUUAAGGAGUUAAUAUCCGGAGCCCCAGCGAAAGCGAGUUUGAAAAGAGCGUUAAGUAACAUGAAAUAGACCCGAACCUUGGUGAUCUAACCUUGACCAGGAUGAAGCGUGGGUAACACUACGUGGAGGUCCGAACCGACUGAUGUUGAAAAAUCAGCGGAUGAGUUGAGGUUAGGGGUGAAAUGCCAAUCGAACCAAGAGCUAGCUGGUUCUCCCCGAAAUGCGUUUAGGCACAGCGUCAGAUAUAUCUUACAGGAGGUAGAGCACUGGUUUUGUGCGGGCGGCGAAAUGCUGUACCAAACAAUGUCAAACUCCGAAUGCCUGUAAUGUAACUGUCUGGCAGUGAGGCUACGAGUGAUAAGAUCCGUGGCCAAGAGGGAAACAGCCCAGAACGCCAGUUAAGGUCCCUAAUAUAUGCUAAGUGGUUAAGGAGGUAGAGUUGCAUUGACAACCAGGAGGUUGGCUUAGAAGCAGCCAUCCCUUGAAAGAGUGCGUAAUAGCUCACUGGUCAAGUGACUCCGCGCCGAAAAUACACCGGGACUAAAGCAUAUAACCGAAGCUGCGUCAUAUAGUUUACUAUAUGGGUAGGGGAGCGUACUGUAGUAAGACGAAGCUAGAGUGAAAACACUAGUGGAUGAGGCAGUAGUGAGAAUGUCGGCAUAAGUAGCGAAAACAUUGGUGAGAAUCCAAUGCACCGAAAACCUAAGGUUUCCCACGGCAGGCUCGUCCGCGUGGGGUUAGUCGGAUCCUAAGCUCAGGCCAAACGGCGUAGGCGAUGGACAAUAGGUUGAUAUUCCUAUACUAUCUGAUAAUCGUUAUCAGAAGCGGAGGGACGCAAGAGGAUAAGCACGCAGUCGACUGGAAGAGACUGUAUAAGCGUGUAGCUAGGUUUGACAGGAAAAUCCGUCAGAUCGUUAAUGUGAGGCGUGAUGUGGAGAGUCUACGGACUCGAAGCUGUUGAAUCCACACUGCCAAGAAAAACUUCGCAAUCGAGAUUAUCCGGUAUCCGUACCGUAAACCGCCACAGGUAGGUUGGUAGAAAAUACUAAGGUGCGCGAGACAACUCUCGCUAAGGAACUCGGCAAAAUCACCUCGUAACUUCGGGAGAAGAGGUACCCUGGUAGCGUGAAGCGAUUUACUCGUGAAGCGUGAUAGGGUCGCAGUGAAUUGGCCCAUGCGACUGUUUACCAAAAACACAGGUCUCUGCUAAGUCGAUCAAGACGAUGUAUAGGGGCUGACGCCUGCCCGGUGUCGGAAGGUUACGUGGAAGGGUUAGUAGUAAUACGAAGCUCUGAAACUAAGCCCCGAUGAACGGCGGCCGUAACUAUAACGGUCCUAAGGUAGCGAAAUUCCUUGUCAGGUA